rnacentral:rRNA from 1 species
GAUGAACGCUGGCGGCGUGCUUAACACAUGCAAGUCGAACGAAGCACUUUAUUUGAUUUCCUUCGGGACUGAUUAUUUUGUGACUGAGUGGCGGACGGGUGAGUAACGCGUGGGUAACCUGCCUUGUACAGGGGGAUAACAGUUAGAAACGGCUGCUAAUACCGCAUAAGCGCACGGCAUCGCAUGAUGCAGUGUGAAAAACUCCGGUGGUAUAAGAUGGACCCGCGUUGGAUUAGCUAGUUGGUGAGGUAACGGCCCACCAAGGCGACGAUCCAUAGCCGACCUGAGAGGGUGACCGGCCACAUUGGGACUGAGACACGGCCCAAACUCCUACGGGAGGCAGCAGUGGGGAAUAUUGCACAAUGGGCGAAAGCCUGAUGCAGCGACGCCGCGUGAGCGAAGAAGUAUUUCGGUAUGUAAAGCUCUAUCAGCAGGGAAGAUAAUGACGGUACCUGACUAAGAAGCACCGGCUAAAUACGUG